rnacentral:rRNA from 1 species
CCUACGGGAGGCAGCAGUGAGGAAUAUUGGUCAAUGGACGCAAGUCUGAACCAGCCAUGCCGCGUGCAGGAAGACGGCUCUAUGAGUUGUAAACUGCUUUUGUACGAGGGUAAACGCAGAUACGCGUAUCUUUCUGAAAGUAUCGUACGAAUAAGGAUCGGCUAACUCCGUGCCAGCAGCCGCGGUAAUACGGAGGAUUCAAGCGUUAUCCGGAUUUAUUGGGUUUAAAGGGUGCGUAGGUGGUCGGAUAAGUUAGAGGUGAAAUCGCGGGGCUCAACUUCGGAAUUGCCUGUGAUACUGUUAGGCUAGAGAGCAGUUGAGGUAGGCGGAAUGUAUGGCGUAGCGGUGAAAUGCUUAGAGAUCAUAAAGAACACCGAUUGCGAAGGCAGCUUACCAAGCUACUACUGACGUUGAGGCACGAAAGCGUGGGGAGCAAACAGGAUUAGAUACCCCUGUAGUC